GACGAACGCUGGCGGCGUGCCUAAUACAUGCAAGUCGAACGCAGUGGGGACGGGUGAGUAACACGUGGGUUACCUCCCAUCAGAGGGGAUAACACUUGGAAACAGGUGCUAAACCGAUACUGAUGGAUGAACCCGCGGUGCAUUAGCUAGUUGGUGAGGUAACGGCUCACCAAGGCCAAGAUGCAUAGACGACCUGCGAGGGUGAUAGGAAACACUGGGACGGAGACACGGCCCAGACUCGUACGGGAGGCAGGAGUAGAGAAACUUCGGCAAUGGAGGAAGGUCUGACCGAGCAACGACGCGAAAGUGAAGGAGGUUUUCGAAUCAGAAAACUCUGUUGUUAGAGAAGCGGUAUCUAACCGGAAAGCCACGGCUAACUACGUGCCAGCAGGCGCGGUAAUAC
rnacentral:rRNA from 1 species